AGCGAACGCUGGCGGCAGGCCUAACACAUGCAAGUCGAACGAAGUCUUCGGACUUAGUGGCGGACGGGUGAGUAACACGUGGGAACGUACCUUUUGGUUCGGAACAACUCAGGGAAACUUGAGCUAAUACCGGAUGAGCCCUUAGGGGGAAAGAUUUAUCGCCGAAAGAGCGGCCCGCGUUAGAUUAGCUAGUUGGUGAGGUAAAGGCUCACCAAGGCUACGAUCUAUAGCUGGUCUGAGAGGAUGAUCAGCCACACUGGGACUGAGACACGGCCCAGACUCCUACGGGAGGCAGCAGUGGAGAAUCUUGCGCAAUGGGCGAAAGCCUGACGCAGCCAUGCCGCGUGAAUGAUGAAGAUCUUAGGAUUGUAAAAUUCUUUUACCAGGGACGAUAAUGACGGUACCUGGAGAAAAAGCCCCGGCUAACUUCGUGCCAGCAGCCGCGGUAAUAC
rnacentral:rRNA from 1 species